GAUGAACGCUGGCGGCGUGCCUAAUACAUGCAAGUAGAACGCUGAAGGAGGAGCUUGCUCUUCUGGAUGAGUUGCGAACGGGUGAGUAACGCGUAGGUAACCUGCCUGGUAGCGGGGGAUAACUAUUGGAAACGAUAGCUAAUACCGCAUGACAACAGUUAUUGCAUGAUAACUGUUUAAAAGGGGCAACUGCUCCACUACCAGAUGGACCUGCGUUGUAUUAGCUAGUUGGGGAGGUAACGGCUCACCAAGGCGACGAUACAUAGCCGACCUGAGAGGGUGAUCGGCCACACUGGGACUGAGACACGGCCCAGACUCCUACGGGAGGCAGCAGUAGGGAAUCUUCGGCAAUGGACGGAAGUCUGACCGAGCAACGCCGCGUGAGUGAAGAAGGUUGUCGGAUCGUAAAGCUCUGUUGUAAGAGAAGAACGAGUGUGAGAGUGGAAAGUUCACACUGUGACGGUAUCUUACCAGAAAGGGACGGCUAACUACGUG
rnacentral:rRNA from 1 species